GAGUAACACGUGGAUAACCUACCUAUAAGACUGGGAUAACUUCGGGAAACCGGAGCUAAUACCGGAUAAUAUAUUGAACCGCAUGGUUCAAUAGUGAAAGACGGUUUUGCUGUCACUUAUAGAUGGAUCCGCGCCGCAUUAGCUAGUUGGUAAGGUAACGGCUUACCAAGGCAACGAUGCGUAGCCGACCUGAGAGGGUGAUCGGCCACACUGGAACUGAGACACGGUCCAG
rnacentral:rRNA from 1 species